UGGGGAAUAUUGCACAAUGGGCGCAAGCCUGAUGCAGCCAUGCCGCGUGUGUGAAGAAGGCCUUCGGGUUGUAAAGCACUUUCAGCGGGGAGGAAGGCGUUAAGGUUAAUAACCUUGGCGAUUGACGUUACCCGCAGAAGAAGCACCGGCUAACUCCGUGCCAGCAGCCGCGGUAAUACGGAGGGUGCAAGCGUUAAUCGGAAUUACUGGGCGUAAAGCGCACGCAGGCGGUCUGUCAAGUCGGAUGUGAAAUCCCCGGGCUCAACCUGGGAACUGCAUACGAAACUGGCAGGCUAGAGUCUUGUAGAGGGGGGUAGAAUUCCAGGUGUAGCGGUGAAAUGCGUAGAGAUCUGGAGGAAUACCGGUGGCGAAGGCGGCCCCCUGGACAAAGACUGACGCUCAGGUGCGAAAGCGUGGGGAGCAAACAGG
rnacentral:rRNA from 1 species